GGAUUGUUUGCAAAAUGCAAUUUAAACAGAUCGCAUUUUAUGGCUUGCCAUUUACCGUAGUAGUAAAUAGCAAAUAGGCAGUUGUGCCUACGUGUAUUUGCUGAUCUGUCAGACACUGGAAAUAAGCCCAGUACAUUAUCCCUUUAAAACCAGGACACGCAUUCAUUCUCAGGGAGAGGCAUUACGUUUUUAUUGAAAACGACAAACCACUGCAGCUGGGGUGAACAACAGAGGGGGCUCCUUUCAUUACCAUUUAACAUAUGCAUACAUGUUUUUCAGAGUGAGUGCCAGGAUUCGCUUAGCCGUCCUCUGCCAUGUGUCAGACUGAUACUGCAAGAAGGCACUUGCAAGUUGCUGGCCUCUCAAUCUUGGACUUUCCAGCCUCCUAAACUGUGAGCUAAUAAAUUUCUGUUCAUUAUAAAUGACCCAGUCUCAGGUAUUCUGUUACAGCAACAAUGAGUGGACUAAGACAGCAGUCAAGCUAGAAUUAGCAUAUACAAACAAACAUGCAAUCAGCAUUAAAAAUAAGAAUAAUUACUGAUCCCAAUUUUCAGAUGCUCAGGUUGGUAGUAUAUACAUAGAUAAAGUCCUUUUUUGCAGUUUAGGCUAUAUAUAAACACCUACCAGGUAAGUAAAACAGAAUUUCAUAUUUUUGUCUAGUAUCCAAUGCAGCAACAUAGAUUCAGUUAUGCCUAAUGUAUGUGGGUGUGCAUUUUGGGAAAAAAUAUACAUUGUUUGUGAAGAUGAGAGAACUCUGUUCCAGUGAAGAUUGCUUAAACACUAUCAAAAAGAAAAAGUUCUAGAGAAUUUUUCACACGUUGUUCUAUUUGACAAUCUAGAAAUAGACCCCAAAUAUAAAGUCAGCUAAGUGGUAAUUAAGAACCAAGAA
rnacentral:lncRNA from 1 species